GAUGAACGCUGGCGGCGUGCCUAAUACAUGCAAGUCGAGCGAACAGACGAGGAGCUUGCUCCUCUGACGUUAGCGGCGGACGGGUGAGUAACACGUGGAUAACCUACCUAUCAGACUGGGAUAACUUCGGGAAACCGGAGCUAAUACCGGAUAAUAUAUUGAACCGCAUGGUUCAAUAGUGAAAGACGGUUUUGCUGUCACUUAUAGAUGGAUCCGCGCCGCAUUAGCUAGUUGUUAAGGUAACGGCUUACCAAGGCAACGAUGCGUAGCCGACCUGAGAGGGUGAUCGGCCACACUGGAACUGAGACACGGCCCAGACUCCUACGGGAGGCAGCAGUAGGGAAUCUUCCGCAAUGGGCGAAAGCCUGACGGAGCAACGCCGCGUGAGUGAUGAAGGUCUUCGGAUCGUAAAACUCUGUUAUUAGGGAAGAACAAAUGUGUAAGUAACUAUGCACGUCUUGACGGUACCGAAUCAGAAAGCCACGGCUAACUACGUG
rnacentral:rRNA from 1 species